rnacentral:lncRNA from 1 species
AAUUGGGUAUGUAAAUUGGGUGCCAUUUUUGAUAGAUUUAAAUUUUAAUUCUUUCAAAUUUUAUUUUAAUUAUAUCAUCUGCAUAUAAAAUAUAUAAAAGCCUAAAAACUUAUUUAUAUUGUUAUUCAUUAAAAACAAUAACAUUAGGCCUAAAUUGCCAUAUGGCCUGUUUUAAAGCAUUUGCAUGUAUCAACCCCAGUGUAUCCUAGGCUAUUCGCCUAUAUAAAAACGCAUAAAAACCCCAAGACUUAUAGUAGAAAAAUGGAAUUUACCCACUUAUGGCCUUGAACAUGUAAUUGCAAAAUAGUUUGAUGAAUGUCCUUGGUAGGACAGAGAACAGUGCAUAUUCAAUUACUUCCACUACAAAAACCUUAAUGAGUUUGUGCCAGUUUGAAUACCAACAGCAAGAUAUUUUUGCAACAUACAACUAUGAAAGUCUUUACCCCUCCCUGUUGCUAGAGCCAACUUGCUUCUCUUUUUAUAGAUUCCUUCUACAGAAUGUGGAAGCUGCAGCAGAUUUAGCACCUGUUUUAAGAGAUUUGCCACAUCUUAUUUGCCAUAUGUCGC